AAAAAGCCCGCUUGUGCGUCGACAGAAGCGGGCUCGUGCGGAAAAGCGUGUCGCGGUGCGGUGUCGCCACCGUUUCGCUUUAGCUGUUUGGGGUUCGUGCCGCUGCCGGCAUGGCCCCGCGUCCGCAAGCUGAUCUCAAAUCGACGCAAGUCCCGAUGCUAACACGGCGCGGGCCAGGCCCGCACCGUGC
rnacentral:sRNA from 1 species